rnacentral:rRNA from 1 species
GGAUUAGAUACCCUGGUAGUCCACGCCGUAAACGAUGUGUGCUAGUUGUCAGGCCCUUAGGGUUUGGUGACGCCGCUAACGCAUUAAGCACACCGCCUGGGGAGUACGGUCGCAAGAUUAAAACUCAAAGGAAUUGACGGGGACCCGCACAAGCGGUGGAGCAUGUCGUUUAAUUCGAUGCAACGCGAAGAACCUUACCACCCCUUGACAUCCUGAUCGCGGAUUAUAGAGAUAUUUUCCUUCAGUUCGGCUGGAUCAGUGACAGGUGCUGCAUGGCUGUCGUCAGCUCGUGCCG